rnacentral:rRNA from 1 species
UACGUAGGGGGCGAGCGUUGUCCGGAAUCAUUGGGCGUAAAGCGCGUGUAGGCGGCCCGGUAAGUCCGCUGUGAAAGUCCAGGGCUCAACCCUGGGAUGCCGGUGGAUACUGUCGGGCUCGAGUCCGGAAGAGGCGAGUGGAAUUCCUGGUGUAGCGGUGAAAUGCGUAGAUAUCGAGAGGAACACCAGUGGCGAAGGCGAGUCCCUGGACAACACCUGACACUGAGGCACGAAAGCUAGGGGAGCAAACAGG